rnacentral:rRNA from 1 species
UACGUAGGGGGCGAGCGUUGUCCGGAAUUAUUGGGCGUAAAGAGCGUGUAGGCGGUUCGGUAAGUCUGUCGUGAAAACCUGGGGCUCAACCCCAGGCGUGCGGUGGAUACUGCCGGGCUAGAGGAUGGUAGAGGCGAGUGGAAUUCCUGGUGUAGCGGUGAAAUGCGCAGAUAUCAGGAGGAACACCGAUGGCGAAGGCAGGUCUCUGGGCCACUACUGACGCUGAGGAGCGAAAGCAUGGGUAGCGAACAGG